AUUGAACGCUGGCGGCAGGCUUAACACAUGCAAGUCGAGCGGGGUGAUGGUGCUUGCACUAUCACUUAGCGGCGGACGGGUGAGUAAUGCUUAGGAAUCUGCCGAUUAGUGGGGGACAACAUCUCGAAAGGGAUGCUAAUACCGCAUAUGUCCUACGGGAGAAAGCAGGGGAUCACUUGUGACCUUGCGCUAAUAGAUGAGCCUAAGUCGGAUUAGCUAGUUGGUGGGGUAAAGGCCUACCAAGGCGACGAUCCGUAGCUGGUCUGAGAGGAUGAUCAGCCACACUGGAACUGAGACACGGUCCAGACUCCUACGGGAGGCAGCAGUGGGGAAUAUUGGACAAUGGGGGCAACCCUGAUCCAGCCAUGCCGCGUGUGUGAAGAAGGCCUUAGGGUUGUAAAGCACUUUCAGUGGGGAGGAAGGUGAUUCACCUAAUACGUGAGUCAAUUGAUGCUACCCACAGAAGAAGCACCGGCUAACUCCGUGCCAGCCGCCGCCGUAA
rnacentral:rRNA from 1 species